CGCGAAAGACAGCGUCAGGUGGGGAGUUGGCUGGGGCGGCACAUCUGUUAAACAGUAACGCAGGUGUCCUACGGUGAGCUCAAAGAGAACGGAAAUCUCUUGUCGACCAAAAGGGGAAAAGCUCACUUGAUUUGGAUUCUCAGUACUAAUACAAACCGUGAAAGCGUGGCCUAUCGAUCCUUUAGUACUCUAGAAUUUUGAGCUAGAGGUGUCAGAAAAGUUACCACA
rnacentral:rRNA from 1 species